CCUGGAUACUUUGAAAGGAAAGCGGCUGCUUUCAUAGUAAUGAGACUGAGACCAAAGGCAUAAACCAGGAAUGUGCAGGGCUGGCUGAGAAGCUUGGGGCACGGGCUUCCUUCCCUGUCCCCAGCUGCUCUCCUAUGGUUGCUUGGUAGCCUAACUUCUUUGGGUCACUCUGCUCUCAGAGCUAACCACUGGCUGCCUCUGCCACUGUGGAAACAAAACAAGCAGGUGCUGGGCGGUGGCAGAGAGUGAACCUCCAAAUCAUCACGUGAACUGGAGACGACAAGAGGACCCUUUAUCAUGGACUAUGCUGCUAAGAUGGUCAUAGGUCAGGGGACAUGAAUCACAUAUUCAAAAUAUGAUGUUUCUCUCCUACAAUGAGUUUAUUGGUAUGAAACUCCAUUGUAAGUUGAGGUAUGCCUGUACUCAAAAAAUGGGUGUGAUCCUGUGCGGCGGGAUGGGAAUCAGAACAAAACGUGUUUAUUACAAAGAUGCAAGAUGAAGACCAUGGAGGCAGCCAGCCUGCAGGCCACGCUUCUGAUCUGAUGACACUGAAGGAAGCUUAUGACCAGCAUUAGACUUGAGGGGAAAGACGACACGUGGUGCUGGGCACUGGCAAGAUGGAUUUCCAGGAAGCAGCAGAUUUUUAUUAGGAAAUAGAUUGGGGUAUGGACCGAGACCUGGAAGGUAUCCCUCAGCACAGAGUCCAAUCUCAGUAAACCUGUCCUGAUUUGGUGUUCUGGACCUCCCAAGGCUGGGUAGGAACCCCCCAACGUGAGCAUGGCAGCCCCAGACUUGGGCAAUGACUGUGGGAGGGCCCCACGCAGACUGUCAGGGGCAACACAGAACAUCCUUUGUCUGAUUACCAUCAACCAGACAACGGGAGGGUGCAUUCAGCUCAAAGUAACCGAGGUGUGUGGGGCCUGUGAGAAGCCAGCACGCAGGGCCGGCAGCAGCUUGCCUUGCACCUUGAAGGGCUGGGAGGCACAAGAACCUGCCUUUUCCAAACCCUGAAGCAAUCCUUCUCCUCCCUUCACAUCUAUUUCUCUAUGUGUGUUUUUUAAAACUCUGUUGAUAGCUAUUAUAUAAUCACAUUGUUGAAAUAUUUGAGAUGGUGAUUACACCACCAUUUGACUUUAAUUGCUACUUCUGUUAGCAUGUUAGAUGUUCUCAGGCCAAAUUAAUUAGGAUUAAACAGUCGACUACUGAUCUGUAACAAUCAAACUUUUAGAAACUCAACCGUGUCACAAUCUAACAUCCCAAUUUUGCUGUGAAUUUGGACAGAGAACCUAUAAGGUCUGAGAUGAUCUUCCCAAAGAUCACAUGUUAGUCCUGUCAACACUAAAUUUAAAGCAAAAAAUACA